CCAUAUCUGAUAUCUGAAACUCGUUUCUAAUAGGAGAAAGAAUGUUGGAAGUGAAUGAUGCCUCCACCAAUCAGCAGGGAGCCUUUGACUCGAGGAUCAUGAAACAGAUACGAAGAUGGCCUGACUGCUGAAGAAUACGAAGGAAGAUUUAAUUGCUCAGUGGAGGCAAUGUUACAGAAAUCGCAAGCUUUGGUGUUGUUUAUGGGGACCUCAGAACAUUGCUUCUUUAUGUAUACAGAAGUCAGACACCAUUCUAUGUACUUCCCUGAUAUUUUGGACCUUCUCAGGAAGGUAAACUUCUUUUUAUGCAGUAUGGUAAAUUUUAAAAAUACCAGUCUUCCACUUUUUGAAAAUUUUAUUACUUCUGCCACGUGGUUGCUUUAUUGUUUUGGUGAUCCUGUUAUGCUCACGUGGCCCUUCGGCAUGUACCUCAUACAUAACCCUCCAUCCAGGUGAGAGCCCCGAUAUAUUCUUGGAUCUUUAAGAGAUGGUGCAGAGAGCAAUAUUAAUUUUCUGUUUCAUUGUUCUAUUAAUAGAAGAAAACAAGCUUUUUUGUUCAGGUUUCAGAUCUCUUGAGUUCAGUGGAACUCAUAGAAGAAAGGAAACUUUCUGUUCUAUGGUGUCCCACUGUUCCAGGUUUUAGGGAUGAUCACUAGACUUGGAAGUGUGAAUUUAUUGUUGUCGCAUGUGGGUAUGUACCUACUGAUGUGUAUAAAACCACGACUUUUUUCUUUGACAAGUAUUUCCGUUCACAUUCAUAGCAAGAAUAAAUAAAUGUACCAUGACCUGUGUUGUCCAUGCCAUUUAUCUCUAUUGUGUGUUUAAGAUAAAUGACAUUUAUCUUAAAAUUGUUAAAGAAACUAUUUUGCAACAAGUUUCCUUCAAAUUGUUAAAGAAACUAUUUUUCAACUGUAAGAAUGUAAAUUAAUUAGUUUCGGGGUGUUUUUUUGGAAACAUGGAUGAUAUAGGUGGAGAGUUUGGCACGACACACUGGCCCUGGGCAGUCGCAGCCCAGACCUUUCCUUUACCAAUGUUCUUAUUUUAGAGUUUACAUCCCACGUCAAAUGUUUCUUUCCAUGUAGGAGUACAUUCCCAUUUCUCUAGGAUGCUCGAUAUUUUGGCCACCCACGAUAGGGUUCUAAGAAUUGAUAUCACAGUUACUAGGUUUCCAAGUAUUACAUUCAUAUUUUGUCUUUGAACCGUGUUAUUUUUCAGUUUAAGUUUGUUCUUGCUACAUCAUUUAUUUACAGAUUCUCCAAAUAGACGAGCAAGGCAACCGACCUGGGGAGAGACCUACUGAUUUGGGCUUGCGGGAGCAUGUAUGUGGCUUGACUAUGAUGACCGCAAUAUGGGGAUUUCCAGGGACUUCAUGGUAGAUUUGAUCAAAAGACAAGCAAGGCAAUUGAGCUGCGGAGAGACCCGCUGAUUUGGACUUGCGGGAGUGUGUCUUGGAUGGCUUGACUAUGAUCUCCGUGUUAUAAUGAUAUCUGAAUUUCCGAUUCAUGUCUUAUGUCUUACUCAAAGUCUAGAUGACCAAAAUCUAACUUUGUACUGGUUCGUAUGUGUUUACCAAAUCUGCAGUAGGUAAAUGAGUUUUACUUGGCAUACAAAUUUGAUGUUAUAGCAUUAAAUCUCCUCAUGAUAUACUUAGUAAUUUACACAGAUUUCAUUUAUGCUAUAGUUUUGAUUGUGCAUGUGCACUUGAACUCUGUUUGAUCAUCUACACUGUUGUCAAAAGACUUGAAACAUAUGAUAGUGGGAUUAUAUUUGAAUGAUAUGAUUGUUGAUUGAUAGCAUUUUUGCUGCUACAGCUCGCCAUUUUUUAUGGUUUGAACACAUGCAUCUUAAAAAUGUCCUGCUUAUAUAUAUUUACUUCCUUUUUUUCUAUCUUAGGUGUGCUACAAAUUCUUCAACCAACAAUUUAGUGUACAUGUGUUUUGCUUGUAGCUUGCUCAAGGCACUGCUGGCAUGACAGGUCCUAUGCUCAGAUCAAACAUUCCUUUACCCAAGUGUAUGAAUCUAUAUUAUUUUAUCUUUAUCUUCUGCUCUGGCUAUUAUGAGAAAAAAUUUCAACACAUUGUUUGUAACAUUGAAGAAAGCUAUUAACAGUUCUAAUCAGCGACACAUGAUUUAUUUCUUAGCAAGUAGUUUGUGACUUUUUUUCUAAAAUGUAAUAGGCAGUAACUUUUGAGGUUCAUGUGCUUAUAGUGUUACUUAAUUAGUGAGUUAGUGCUAGAUCAGUGUCCCAACACAAUGAUGAUAUGCCUCAUAUAAGAGCAAUAUUCUUCUCUGAGGAAAGCUGAAGCGCAAAACUGAAAACCAAACUUGAGUCUGAAUGAAAAGUUCAUUCUGCACGGUUUAAGUUCGUUUUGAACUUUAACUUUUCUAUUGACUUGUCCUCUGUACAUGUUUCAAGCAAUAGCUUUGACCUUAAAUGGAGACUAUUAAUUGGAGUGUUCCAUCUUAUUGUAUUGUAUGUUGAUA